rnacentral:rRNA from 1 species
AGCGGCAGGCCUAAUACAUGCAAGUCGAACGGUAACAUUGGUGCUUGCACCAGAUGACGAGUGGCGCACGGGUGCGUAACGCGUAUGCAACCUACCUUUUACUAGAGUAUAGCCCAGAGAAAUUUGGAUUAAUCCUCUAUAACAUCUUUUAAUUUCAUGAUUUUAAGAUUAAAGUUUUAACGGUAAAAGAUGGGCAUGCGUCCUAUUAGUUUGUAGGUGAGGUAACGGCUCACCUAGACUACGAUAGGUAGGGGCCCUGAGAGGGGGAUCCCCCACACUGGUACUGAGACACGGACCAGACUCCUACGGGAGGCAGCAGUAAGGAAUAUUGGACAAUGGACGAAAGUCUGAUCCAGCCAUGCCGCGUGCAGGAUGACAGCCCUACGGGUUGUAAACUGCUUUUAUACAGGAAGAAACACUCCGACGUGUCGGAGCUUGACGGUACUGUAAGAAUAAGGAUCGGCUAACUCCGUGCCAGCAGCCGCGGUAAUACGGAGGAUCCAAGCGUUAUCCGGAAUCAUUGGGUUUAAAGGGUCCGCAGGCUGUUUUUUAAGUCAGAGGUGAAAUCCUACAGCUCAACUGUAGAACUGCCUUUGAUACUGGAAAACUUGAGUUAUUGUGAAGUGGUUAGAAUGUGUGGUGUAGCGGUGAAAUGCAUAGAUAUCACACAGAAUACCGAUUGCGAAGGCAGAUCACUAACAAUAUACUGACGCUCAUGGACGAAAGCGUGGGGAGCGAACAGGAUUAGAUACCCUGGUAGUCCACGCCGUAAACGAUGGAUACUAGCUGUUCGUCUAACAUUGGUUAGAUGAGUGGCUAAGCGAAAGUGAUAAGUAUCCCACC